rnacentral:rRNA from 1 species
GACGAACGCUGGCGGCGUGCUUAACACAUGCAAGUCGAACGGAAAGGCCUCGUUCUUGGGGUACUCUAGUGGCGAACGGGUGAGUAACACGUGAGUAACCUGCCCUUGUGUUUGUGAUAACUUCAGGAAACUGGGGCUAAUACCGGAGAUGAGCGCCUGCUGCGUGUGGGGGGUUGGGAAGUUUCGGGGGGUGGGGAUGGACUCGCGGCGUAUCAGCUUGUUGGGGGGGGAGUGGGUUACCAAGGCCUUGACGGGUAGCCGGCCUGGGAGGGUGAACGGCCAAAUUGGGAAUGAGAUAAGGCCCAGACUCCCACCGGAGGCAGCAGGGGGGAAUAUUGCAACAUGGGUGGAAGCCCGAUGCAGCAAACGCGUGUGCGGGAUGAAGGGCUUCGGGUUGUAAACCGCUUUCGGUCAUGAAGAAGCUUUGUGUGACGGUAGUGGGUAAAGAAGCACCGGCUAACUACGUG